rfam:Oryza sativa Japonica Group DNA, chromosome 12, cultivar: Nipponbare, complete sequence.
AAAAAGACAAACCCUGGGUUUCCGUGUCUAACUUUGACUGUCCGUCUUAUAUGAAAUUUUUUUAUAAUUCGUAUUUUUAUUGUUGUUAGAUGAUAAAAUAUGAUUAAUACUUUGUGCGUGACUUGUCUUUUUAAUUUUUUUCAUAAUUUUUUCAAAUAAGACUGACAGUCAAACGUUGGGCACGAAAACCAGGGUUUGUCUUUUU